UUCUGAUUUUUUUUGUUUCUAGUCAACUGAGUAUUCUGAAACUAUUCUAGAUCAAUCUUUGAAGUCUAUAUAUAGUCUGAUUUCCUCUGCUUAAUUACUACUUUGCUUAAUUUAUACUCCAAUUAGGAGGCAAUUGGUUAAAACCAUGAGUCCUUAUAAUCGGUUUUCUUUUUCUUCUAUCAGCUUAAAAUUAAUGUUCCUUGUACCCAAUUUUGUCAUCUUUCUUGAAGACAUAGAACUGAAUAAUUCCUGUAAGACAUUUUCUAUUCUUAGUCACAGUCUUAAAGGCAAGCUUUAAAAAUAAAGUGAUAAGACAUGAUGUAACUCUCCAUUGAUUCUAAUGUUAAUGGAAGAACUUUAUUAUUAAAGAGAGCUUAAAAAUAGCGCUAGUAAUAAAAGAAAUUAUGCUGACAGCCUAUGAAAAGGGCGAGCAAUUCUCAUAACUAGUAGAGGAACAAAAAUUCACAGUGGCAAACCUUGUGACAGACUUGAAUUCCUAUAUUUCCUUUCAUACUCAAGUGAUUUUGGAAUAUAUUGAGAAAAGAAGAGAUUAAUUGAUAUAAGUUCCCAAGUGAACUCAUUUGGCAUAGUGACUCUGAAUUCAUUUAAAUCUGACUUAUCAACUAAAUUCUCUCAUUCCUACUAUCUUCAUUUCUCAAAAGCCCUGUGCUGGUUCCUUGUGUUGAAAAUGUGCUCCAUACAAUAAAGUUAGUCUGAAGCACAUGUA